AAUUAAGAAAUGUGAUCUACCCGAUACCAUUCUGAACUCGAGUUGUAAAAGCAUUUCUCAUUAUAUGUACUGCUGAUAGCGGGAGACGUAAUGGUGAUCUA
rnacentral:rRNA from 1 species